rnacentral:rRNA from 1 species
CCUACGGGUGGCAGCAGUGGGGAAUAUUGCACAAUGGGGGAAACCCUGAUGCAGCGACGCCGCGUGAGUGAAGAAGUAUCUCGGUAUGUAAAGCUCUAUCAGCAGGGAAGAAAAUGACGGUACCUGACUAAGAAGCCCCGGCUAACUACGUGCCAGCAGCCGCGGUAAUACGUAGGGGGCAAGCGUUAUCCGGAUUUACUGGGUGUAAAGGGAGCGUAGACGGCGCUGCAAGUCCGGAGUGAAAGCCCAUGGCUUAACCAUGGUACUGCUCUGGAAACUGUGGAGCUUGAGUGCAGGAGAGGCAAGUGGAAUUCUUAGUGUAGCGGUGAAAUGCGUAGAUAUUAGGAGGAACACCAGUGGCGAAGGCGGCUUGCUGGACUGUAACUGACACUGAGGCUCGAAAGCGUGGGGAGCAAACAGGAUUAGAUACCCGGGUAGUC